rnacentral:rRNA from 1 species
CGUGGCGGAAUGUAUCAUGUAGCGGUGAAAUGCUUAGAUAUGAUACAGAACACCGAUCGCGAAGGCAGCUAACGAAACUAUAACUGACGCUCAGGAACGAAAGCGUGGGUAGCGAACAGGAUUAGAUACCCUGGUAGUCCACGCCGUAAACUAUGAUUACUCGUUGUCGGCGAUACACAGUCGGUGGCUAAGCGAAAGUGAUAAGUAAUCCACCUGGGGAGUACGAUCGCAAGGUUGAAACUCAAAGGAAUUGACGGGGGCCCGCACAAGCGGAGGAGCAUGUGGUUUAAUUCGAUGAUACGCGAGGAACCUUACCUGGGCUUAAAUGUAGAGUGCAUAAUGGGGAAACCUAUUUUUCCUUCGGGACUCUUUACAAGGUGCUGCAUGGUUGUCGUCAGCUCGUGCCGUGAGGUGUCGGGUUAAGUCCCAUAACGAGCGCAACCCCUACCUUUAGUUGCCAUCAGGUAAUGCUGGGGACUCUAGAGGAACUGCCUACGCAAGUAGCGAGGAAGGUGGGGAUGACGUCAAAUCAGCACGGCCCUUACGUCCAGGGCUACACACGUGCUACAAUGGUCGGUACAGAGGGCAGCAACCCCGUGAGGGGUAGCAAAUCUCGAAAGCCGAUCUCAGUUCGGAUCGAAGUCUGAAACUCGACUUCGUGAAGUUGGAUUCGCUAGUAAUCGCGCAUCAGCCAUGGCGCGGUGAAUACGUUCCCGGGCCUUGUACACACCGCCCGUCAAACAAUGGAAGCUUGGGGUACCUGAAGUCCGUCACCGUAAGGAGCGGCCUAGGGUAAAACGAGUAACGG